AAUUAUCCAACAAAAUGAACAGACGCAAAUAUACUCUCUAAGAGAGGAAUAUUGAUGAUCGUUUUCCCUUUUUCACUGGAUUUUCAGAGCGAACUUCUAUAUAUUAGUCUCGAAAACUUCAUCUGCUUCGAUGAAGAUGAUGGUCUCGAAUGGAUAUGCCGGCAGAGGAAGCAGUAGUUGUGGAUACGAUGGUAGAAAUUCGAUUAGAAACAAGAUUCACAAGCGAUUGGAACCUUGUUUGGUGAUACCGCCGCCGCGAGGUAAGCUGCUUGGCGCUAUCAUUAAGUUCCUCGAUGGCGCUAUCAUCGGAGCUAUUCCUGAAGUCACUUGCAGGUUUUUUUCCCUUCCGUUUCUUCGCUAUCAUUUGUAUUUCGAUGUAGCUACUUUAUUUGAGCUUUUGGCAAAGGAAGGGUUUCUGAUAAUUUCAGUACCUUACAAAUUGAGUUUCGAUCAUGCCAUUGCUGCGAGACAAGUAUUCGAGAGGUUUCAUGGCCGUUUGGAUGCCAUUUUAGCGUCCGGAUUGCUCCAUGAAGAUGUUUCACAUGCUCAACUUGUUAACCUUUCUCUACCGUGGAUCAUAGCAAUGGCGCGCUUCCGCAAGUACUCACAGGGAGCUAUUUCGCCGCGAAGAUACCUAAGGUUUGGCUUCUUACUUUUCUUUUGAUUGUUCGUCUUUUAAUUUACUUGUGGAAAUGAAUUGGACGCAACUGACUAGCUAAUCACCGAGAUGAUAAUUUUCUUAUCAAUUUCAAUGGUUGUGUGACAUAAUAAAUAUUCUCGUUGUGGAAGGACAAUGCUAUGAUCUCCUUCAACAACAGGCCAGCAACAGAGGCUGUUCCUUACUUUGAGCGGGGAUGUGUGGAAGAUCUUGCUUGAUGCCGCUGGAGCUAUUGUUCCAGACAGAGAUCAAUCGAGUAAGUCUUGAAUUCUCUGACUAAAAUUUGUUGAUCAGCUGCCCUCAGUUUUAAACUAGGUAACCCUUUAAAAUUUCACGUCUGCUUCUUUACUUUGUC